UACGGAGGGGGCAAGCGUUAUUCGGAAUUAUUGGGCGUAAAGGGCGCGUAGGCGGCUAGAUGUGUCAAGGGUGAAAUCCCUCGGCUCAACUGAGGAACUGCCUUUGAAACUGUCUGGCUUGAGGCCGGGAGAGGGUAGCGGAAUUCCCAGUGUAGCGGUGAAAUGCGCAGAUAUCAGGAGGAACACCGGUGGCGAAGGCGGGUCUCUGGGCAGUAACUGACGCUGAGGAGCGAAAGCGUGGGGAGCGAACAGG
rnacentral:rRNA from 1 species